rfam:Cariama cristata contig98143, whole genome shotgun sequence.
GGUCUGUGAUGAAUGAAUAGUAAAAGGUCUGAUUAUCCUAAGACUUGCACUUCCAUGACCUUGUCUCCCAGCAGUUUCUCAUCAGUCACGGCACAGUAAUGGUGUGGCUGGCCGAGUGUUUGCUGACAACUUGUGAUGUGUACAGUUCAUGUUAACCUGAAGUAUCGGAGACAUGACUGGGAUCAGUAUCCAGCAGUCCUGCUUGAAGGAGUUUAGGGUCUUGGAUUGUUGUAACUGGACAUGUGAUCUGACUUUUCUGCUGAGACC